rnacentral:lncRNA from 1 species
UUAAAGUGUUUGAUGACUGUGUUGAAUUACUUAACUGUUCUAUGAUUACUGCAUCAUACUUACAUGUGCUUGUUAACGUACUAGUCUUGUACAGAAAAAUUGACUAAAUGGUCCUGAAUGUUUUCCUAAGUGUUAGGAAUUAAAAGUGUCACAAAAAGAUAUAUAAAAGACACUUUAAGGAAUAAUUAAGCACUUUAAUGGAACGGUUUCUAACCGAACAACCGGACAUUACCCGGGACACCAAAUUUUUGCCAAACAUAUUGUUUAUUUAUUUCUUGACUAGUCGUGAUCCCUGAACACCCUAACUGUUGGUGCAUUAUGUACCAAGACUAAAGACUCAGGCGCUAAAGACUACGUCAACAUCCAAGGGGGAGUCACCCACUAAAUAUCAAGUAACUAACAUAUGUAAGUAUACACUUGAGAUUUAACUAAUCUUUACCAACUUAGUUGCAAA